GCAUGCGAGUCGCGCGAGAAUGUAGCAAUACAGGACAGCGGCGAAAGGGAGAGGACAACACGGGAAUCUGCCUUGGGGACGAGGAUAGCGUCGGGAAACUGACAGUAAUACUCGAUAAUGUUUGCGGACCAAAGGUGUGAUUCCGCCCCAAGAUGAGCCCGUGCCCCAUUAGCUAGUUGGCAGGGUAAUGGCCUACCAAGGCUGUGAUGGGUAGCUGGUGUGAGAGCACGACCAGCCUCACUGGCACUGAGACACUGGCCAGACACCUACGGGUGGCUGCAGUCGAGAAUCUUCGGCAAUGGACGAAAGUCUGACCGAGCGACGCCGCGUGCGGGAUGAAGGCCUUCGGGUUGUAAACCGCUGUCGUAGGGAAUCAAAUGCAUAGGGGUACUCCCCUUUGUUUGAGUGAUCCUAGGAGGAAGGAGAGGCUAAGCUCGUGCCAGCAGCCGCGCUAAGACGAGCUCUCCAAACGUUAUUCGGUACUACUGGGCUUAAAGAGUUCGUAGGCGGCUCUGUAGGUGAGAUGUGAAAGCCCUCGGCUUAACCGAGGAACUGCGUUUCAAACCACAGGGCUUGAGGGAGAUAGGGGUAAGCGGAACAGAUGGUGGAGCGGUGAAAUGCAUUGAUAUCAUCUGGAACACCGGUGGCGAAGGCGGCUUACUGGGUCUUUUCUGACGCUGAGGAACGAAAGCUAGGGUAGCGAACGGGAUUAGAUACCCCGGUAGUCCUAGCCGUAAACGAUGAGCACUAGUCUGAGGGACUCUCACAGUUUCUCGGACGUAGCGAAAGUGUUAAGUGCUCCGCCUGGGGGAGUAUGGUCGCAAGGCUGAAACUCAAAGGAAUUGACGGGGGCUCACACAAGCGGUGGAGGAUGUGGCUUAAUUCGAGGCUACGCGAAGAACCUUACCAGCUUUUGACAUG
rnacentral:rRNA from 1 species